ACAGUGGGAAUAGGAGGGAGUCUAUAUUUCUAACCCUAAUAUACCCGGUUCAGGGCUCUUAUGUGGCGCUCGUUGUUUUGCCGGUUGCCUUUCAGCGGGCGAAAGAGCUCAGAGAAGCGAGGACCAAAAAACGGCAGCCGCGGGCCCUCCUGUUCCCACCAUCCCAGCUUUUCCACACUGCGCCUGGGUUCUCACUCAAGUGUUCGGCAGCUUCCACUUACGAGGCCGCGGUCUACCGCUGUCACUGGUAGUCGCGAAGAGUUCGUCUCUGUCAGCCUUGGGAGCCGCGGACGGAGUAUGAGGUCCAGUAAUGAGAGCAGGGAAGAGUAAAGCGAGCCGCGCUACUUGUCCUAUCUGCCGCUCCUAAGCUGUGGGGCGUGUAGGGUACACAAGGCUCCGACAUUC
rnacentral:telomerase_RNA from 12 species